rnacentral:rRNA from 1 species
AGAAUCAACGCUGGCGGCGUGCCUAACACAUGCAAGUCGAACGAGAAAGUGGUAGCAAUACCAUGAGUACAGUGGCGCACGGGUGAGUAACACGUGACUAACCUACCCUGGAGUGGGGGAUAACUGAGGGAAACCUUAGCUAAUACCGCAUAAUACCUACGGGUCAAAGGAGCAAUUCGCUUCAGGAGGGGGUCGCGGCCGAUUAGUUAGUUGGCGGGGUAAUGGCCCACCAAGACAGUGAUCGGUAUCCGGCCUGAGAGGGCGCACGGACACACUGGAACUGAAACACGGUCCAGACUCCUACGGGAGGCAGCAGUGGGAAUUUUGCGCAAUGGGGGAAACCCUGACGCAGCAACGCCGCGUGGAGGAUGAAGUCCUUCGGGACGUAAACUCCUUUCGAUCGGGACGAUAAUGACGGUACCGGAAGAAGAAGCCCGGCUAACUUCGCGCCAGCAGCCGC